rnacentral:rRNA from 1 species
UACGGGGGGAGCAAGCGUUGUUCGGAUUUACUGGGCGUAAAGGGCGCGUAGGCGGCCUGUGCAAGUCAGUUGUGAAAUCUCCGGGCUUAACUCGGAACGGUCAACUGAUACUGCUCGGCUAGAGUGCGGAAGGGGCAACUGGAAUUCUUGGUGUAGCGGUGAAAUGCGUAGAUAUCAAGAGGAACACCUGCGGCGAAGGCGGGUUGCUGGGCCGACACUGACGCUGAAGUGCGAAAGCUAGGGAGCGAACGGG